rnacentral:rRNA from 1 species
CCUAAGGGGACUGCGGAGACAUUAAUGAAUUUAUGACUGGGGUUGUCGCUGGCCUUUAAAAACGGCAUGUGCACGCCCCUUUCACUAAUCCACACACACCUGUGCACCUUCGCGGGGGCUCUCGGGAACCGACGCAAGUCGUAAGUACCGGAGCUCGCGUCCCUUUACACACCCCUUUGUAUGUCUUAAGAAUGUCUACUCGAUGUAAUAAAACGCAUCUAAUACAACUUUCAACAACGGAUCUCUUGGCUCUCGCAUCGAUGAAGAACGCAGCGAAAUGCGAUAAGUAAUGUGAAUUGCAGAAUUCAGUGAAUCAUCGAAUCUUUGAACGCACCUUGCGCCCUUUGGUAUUCCGAAGGGCACACCUGUUUGAGUGUCGUGAAAUUCUCAACCCUCUUCACUUUUUUGGUGAAGCCAGGGCUUGGACUUGGAGGCUUUGCCGGCUCUGCUCGGCUCCUCUCAAAUGCAUUAGUGCGUCUUGUUGCGACGUGCGCCUCGGUGUGAUAAUUAUCUACGCUGUGGUGUGCUUGCUUCUGUGGAGACGCGCUUUCAAACCGUCCGAAAGGACAACUUUCAUCGAACUUUGACCUCAAAUCAGGUGGGACUACCCGCUGAACUUAAGCAUAUCAAAAGGCCGGGAGGAAA